rnacentral:misc_RNA from 1 species
CAACCCUCGAGCCCCUCCGGGGGCUCGGCGUUGGGGAUCGGGACCCCUCACCGGGUGCCGGCCCUGAAAUCCAGUGGCGGUCUCGCCGCGGCCUCUCCUGCGCAGUAGCUUGCACAAGACUCGCAACGGGAGCGCGGCGCGCCCACGUCCGUAAAACACCCAACUUCCGGAA